GCCGUGCCCGCCGCCAUGUACGGGGGAGGCGGCGGCGGCGGAGGAGGCGGCGGCGGAGGGGGAGGCCGCGGGAAAGGCGAGCGGAAGACCGGCGCGAAGGAGGAGCCCGGGCCCGGCGGCGGCAGCGGCGGCGGCGGCGGAGGAGGAGGAGGAGGAGGAAGUGGAGGCAGCGGCGGCGGCGGCGGCGGCGGCGGUGGUAGCAGCUGUCGCGUGGAGCUGCUGGUGUUCGGCUAUGCCUGCAAACUCUUCCGCGACGAUGAGCGGGCCCUGGCGCUGGAGCAAGGACAGCACCUCAUCCCUUGGAUGGGCGACCCCAAGAUCCUCAUCGACAGAUAUGAUGGACGCGGUCACCUGCAUGACCUUUCUGAUUAUGAUGCUGAAUAUUCCACAUGGAACAGAGACUACCAGCUUUCUGAAGAGGAGGCACGAAUAGAUGCCCUGUGUGAUGAAGAGAGGUAUUUAGCCUUGCAUACGGACUUGCUUGAGGAGGAGGCAAGGCAAGAGGAAGAAUAUAAGCGACUGAGUGAAGCCUUAGCAGAGGAUGGAAGUUAUAAUGCAGUGGGAUUCACUUAUGGCAGCGAUUAUUAUGACCCUUCUGAACCAACAGAAGAGGAAGAACCCUCAAAACAAAAAGUUGAAAAAAUUGAGGCAGAAAACUCAGAGGAAAAUGAAGAACCUUUCAUUGCCCCUUUAGGAUUGAAUGUGCCUUCCGAUGUGGAACUGCCACCAACAGCCAAGAUGCACGCUAUCAUCGAGCGCACCGCCAAUUUUGUCUGCAAGCAGGGUGCUCAGUUUGAGAUCAUGCUGAAAGCCAAGCAGGCCCGCAAUUCCCAGUUUGAUUUUUUGCGCUUUGAUCACUACCUCAACCCUUACUAUAAACAUAUCCAGAAGGCGAUGAAAGAAGGGCGAUAUACUGUUCUGACGGAAAGCAAAGGAGAAGAGAAGAGAAAUUCAGGGGCCAACUCAGAUGAUGACGAUGAUGAUGAUGAUGAUGGUAAUUACCUACAUCCAUCGCUCUUUGCUUCCAAAAAGUGCAGUCGACUUGAAGAGCUUAUGAAGCCUUUGAAAGUGGUGGAUCCUGAUCACCCUCUUGCAGCACUUGUUCGUAAAGCCCAAGCUGAUAGUAAUGCAUCUACCCCUCAGACAGCAGAUGGGGCAGCUGUGCAAGCGGGACAGGUGGAGUACACUUCAGAUUCAACAGUGGCAGCCAUGUAUUAUAGCUACUACAUGUUGCCGGAUGGAACAUAUUGUCUUGCACCUCCACCCCCGGGAAUUGAUGUUGCUACUUACUACAGUGCUCUUCCUGCAGGGGUUAAUGUACCUACUACCACAGGAGUAACAACCGUGCCUCCCCCUCCUGGGACUACGCCGCCCCCACCCCCAGCUACAACAGAGUCCAGCAGCGGGCUAGCUUCUGCCACAACUCCAUCCAGUACCCUUGCUCCAGUGGUUGCCAUUAUCCCUCCACCUCCGGACAUCCAGCCUGUAAUUGACAAGUUGGCAGAAUACGUUGCUAGGAAUGGAAUUAAAUUUGAGACUAGUGUUCGUGCCAAGAAUGAUCAGAGGUUUGAAUUCCUACAGCCGUGGCACCAGUAUAAUGCCUACUAUGAAUUUAAGAAGCAGUUCUUCCUUCAAAAAGAAGGGGGCAACAGCUCACAGGUUAUAGCAGCAACAGUUGUAGCAGAAGAGGCUCCUGCCGAGCCUGCCCCUGAAAGUGCCCGUGAAGUGGUAGAAGAUGGUACAUCUGAAGAUACUGCUGACCCAGGAGGAAAGGGUGCCUCAGGGGCAAAAAAGGAGUCAGCUUCCAAUAAAGUCAUCAGUGAUGGAAAAUUGGUGAAAGCUUCAUUUGCUCCAAUAAGCUUUGCAAUCAAGGCCAAAGAAAAUGAUCUGCUUCCCCUGGAAAAAAAUCGUGUUAAACUAGAUGAUGACAGUGAUGAUGAUGAUGAAGAGGGCAAGGAAGGCCAAGAGAGCUCUAGUAGUUCUGCAAACCCUAACCCAGCACUUGUUACACCCUGUGUAGUUGUUGAGGAGAAGAAACCUCAACUUACCCAGGAGGAGCUGGAAGCCAAGCAAGCAAAGCAAAAGCUAGAGGAUCGGCUUGCAGCUGCUGCCCGAGAAAAGCUGGCCCAAGCCUCCAAGGAGUCAAAGGAAAAACAGCUUCAGGCCGAGCGGAAAAGAAAAGCAGCUCUCUUUUUACAGACUUUAAAAAACCCCAUGUCAGAAGCAGAAUCUGGGAAGGUGGAUGAUCAUCCCUUUGGUGUGGAGGAAGUCAGUAAUAUGCCAUGUACUUUACUGACUGGAGUGAGACCUCUGCCAGCUUUGGAAGUUAAGCCACCAGAACGGCCCUCAAGCAAAAGUAAAGAUCCUCCCCGAGAAGAAGAAAAGGAAAAGAAAAAGAAAAAGCACAAAAAAAGGUCUCGGACAAGAUCCCGCUCUCCCAAGUACCAUUCAUCAUCUAAGUCCAGGUCUAGAUCACAUUCAAAAGCAAAGCAUUCUCUUCCCAGUGCCUAUAGAACUGUCCGACGGUCAAGACCCACAGCCUCCACAGGGACACUGAGCACGGAGCCAUGUCAGAGCAGCUCAUCAGUGGCAGCAGCAACAGAUCAAGACAGUUAUCAGGCAGCCUCGACAACGAAAAGAUUUGACUCCUGGAGCUCUUUUGAGGGAAAACCUGGUAAAAUGUCAAGGUCACGGUCAAGGUCGCCCAGAAGAAGAGCUCACUCUCCUGAGAGAAGAAGAGAAGAAAGAAGUGUUCCAACAGCCUACCGUCUGAGCAACAGCCCAGGAAUCAGCAGGAAACGCACACGAUCCAGAAGUCCCCAUGAGAAGAAGAAAAAGAGAAGAUCUCGGUCACGUCCCAAGUCUAAGGCAAGGUCACAGUCAGUGUCACCAAGCAAACAAGCUGCACAUAAGAACUCGGCCCAUUCAACCAGCAUCUCUCCUGUGGAGAGUAGAGAAUCCAGUCAAGAGCGCUCCAGGGGAGUUUCUCAGGAAAAAGAUGGUCAGAUCUCUUCAGCAAUUGUGUCUUCAGUGCAAAGUAAAAUUACUCAGAGUGUAUGGAUCAUGUCUAUCUGUAGCCUCUGCUUGCCUCCGUGAACCCUUUUGGAAUUAUGAGUAUGAUUGCACCACUGAAGAAUUCUGCAGAGAGCUGGUCAGGACCCCAUUUCUGAAUAUUUCUCUCUUGUGAUCUAAUGGCCAAAGUGAGAGCAAUGCUUGCCGCUUCCAAAAACAUACAAACUAGUGCCUCCUGAGACCCGGUGAACUGACCGUUCCUUAGGGCAACACAUGGGAGGGGAUUUUGCAGUCUCCAUUGCCUCAUUGCAGCUGUGGAUCAGAGAACUCUUGAGAUUUUGGUCCACAGCUCUCUUUUGUGGAAGGUUAUUGGAAUUAGAAGAUCAGAAAAACCUUAUUUCUGUCCAGCCCUACCCUCACAAGCGCUGCCAGAUUUUUCCACCCUGGAUCUCCCUUGGACAUUUGAAGGUUUUUGUAAAUUGAUUUUUGAUGACCUCUUCAGUUUAAGAUUUUUGACCAGCAGUCUCUUAUCUGUAUAUUUGUAAAUAAUAUCAUGUUUCUGUGAAAAUGUAUUACCAAAUAAAAUGGGAGAAAAACACCUUUUCUAGCUAGCAA